rnacentral:lncRNA from 1 species
AACGCUUCUACAGUGGCGAGCAAGAUCAGAACAAUCUGACCUCAGACAAAAGCAUCUUCAGUAAUUUACUAGUAUCAGUAAUCGCCCUACUGUAAUCUGAACCUACCCAAAGUCGCCACUUGACAGGUGAAAUUAUCGCAACGUUUCGACAGUGGCGAGCAAGAUCAGAACAAUCUGGCCUCAGACCCACCCAUACUGAGAAGAAAAGUAAAUAAAUUUCUUCAACAAGCAGAUGGAACACAAAAUCCCAUCCCAAUCCCAUCAUCUUGGAAACCACGGCCUCGUCCAUCUCCAACGAAGGGGAAAAGACCACCGAUGUCAGUGUCCAAAGCCAUCGCGACUAGACACAACUUAUUAGUACUUCGAGAAAACAAGCAAGGCCACGAGCACCGCCCGGAUCGCUCUAAAACCUAGGCAGGCGCAGAACCCCUCCUCGACUCCCGACGACGAAACGCCAAACCCUACGCGGACAGAAGAAAAAAAAACGGCACUCCCCUCAUCCUCCCCGAUCGAACGCCACAACGACAUCACCACACUGUGAGGACACGGGAAAACCACCUUGAUGACGAGAUCCCGGGGCCGGCGGCCGAGCGGCACGGGGCCGCGGAGCGACGGCGGGGCGCCCCGUUGAGGCAUCAUGGCGCGAGUCCGCGGCAGCGGGGGGCCUCCGCGCAGCCCCUGCAAGCCUCGGCGAUGCGCUGCACAGUGCCGGGGCUGGGGGAGGAGGCAGUGCGUCGGCGGUGGGGGUGGGGGUGUGGCGUGGUGGGGAAGAAGAAGAAGGGGGCAGGGCCUCGCCGCUCAAGCCCCUCUUUUAUCGAGUCCGUUCCGUUAGCUUCGAGGGGA